UCUUCAUUUCGCGUCCUUUCUCGCCGGUCAGAGUGGCGAUAGAGCACGCGAAAUGAGGAGA
rnacentral:pre_miRNA from 1 species